UCAUAGCUAGGUCUUGGAAAUGGAAAAAUAAGAUCAGGUUUUCCUAAUUUUAUGAUCAUUCUCAAGAACUGGUGUGGACCAAGGAAUAGUCCCAGUGGCCAGUCUGGAUAUGGUAUCUCUGCUUUCAGCAGAUUGAAAAGGUCUUUUAAGCUAUUCAGGCUGGGAGAGAUCUCUUACUGGAUGUGCAUGGUGCCUCGAGCAUGGCUGAGGAGGUGCUGCUGUAAUAUAAUAUGAGGGAAGAGCUCUAGAUCAAAGGACCUGUUCUCUUCUGCCUCCUGCACCUCUGUCCAUGCUGUGCUGCACUUGGGGUACUGCCAGGAUCUGGGAAGAAGAGCAGCCAUGAGCUCAUCUACCUGUUUGGAAAUUCAGGGUAGACUUUUCCGUCUUUCUCUCAGUCUAAAUGUCAGUUUCCUACACCUCUGCUCACAGUUUUCAGCACUUGCUGCAUGGUUCUGCUGCAUUCAGUGGGAAUAUCCUUGGGAAACAUCUCCAAAUUUGGCUACAAGAGGGAUUGUUUUGGAAAGUUGGAAGCAUAAUCCUCAGCUUGACCUGAGUGUCAGCUCAGAGAUAAAUAAAAUGAAGUCUUACUUUGUUCACUAUGAAGUGUCAGGAUUAUCCAGAUAUAGCUGUAUAUCUGACAUCUUCAGAAAUGAGCAUCUUUGUGUUAAGAGAAUAGACACUUGUAAGGUUGUUUCAUGUCUACCUUCAUGAAUAGUAAGCAAUCAAACGUAAGAUUUCUUGCAAAUGAAAACUAAAAAGACCAAAGAAACAUUCAGACUCAAACCCAAGGCAAUCAAAAAAUCAGCCAAGAGCAAUAGAAGUUGACCUUAGCCUUGCAUGACAUUUAUAAGUUGUUUUAUCACCUUGCAGCGAAGAUUUACCAUGACACAGUGUCUGUGUGUUUGUGGCAUAGAGGUGCUAGACUUUCACUUUUGUUUAGAGAGAAACAAGAAAACAUUGCAUUUUAUAUUUACUUUUAAGGUAAGUGGAAGAUAAAUUCACUGGCCAGUGUUCUUAUAUUGUGUCCCAAUAAGGAAUCUGAUUUUGGAUUUCAGUCCACGGAGAAACUGCCAGACAUUUCUUUAGAAAAGCACCUGUUCUUGCUCUGCACUUGGACAAGAAACUAAACCCCGUUUUCAUUUAGCUUCUCCAUCUUUGCCCCUUUUCUGUCAGCAGCUGGGAUGUAGCCCCUGUAUGGAACAUAACUGGGUUUAUUUUUUUCACCCAGGCGUAUCAGUCUCUUGUAAUGGACAAUUUGCUGGCACUUCAUUCAUUAAAGGGAAUCUAAACUAUGGUCCAAACCACUAAAUUAGAUUCUAAUUUCCAGAUUACAUCAUUUUGGUGAAGCACAGCUCAUUCACAGGGCCUUGCAAAAUGAGACUGACUAUAAACUUUAAAUACUGCCACAGUGAGACAUAUAUUGCAAUAGCAACCAUAAUGUAGGUUAAUAAAAUGGCCCACAGUUGUGUGAAUCCAACCAUACACUCAAAUUUCCUGGAAAAAAAACGUUCCCACGCUUGCACAAAUCCAAUUUUUUUUUUUUUUUUUAAGUUUGACUGGUAUCCACAAGAGACACCAGGCAAAUGUUUGCUCUUAACUCUCUCCUGAGGUGAACAAGACUGACAACCUGGGCCACUAGAAAAAAGUAACU